rnacentral:rRNA from 1 species
GAUGAACGCUGGCGGCGUGCCUAAUACAUGCAAGUCGAGCGAACGGACGAGAAGCUUGCUUCUCUGAUGUUAGCGGCGGACGGGUGAGUAACACGUGGAUAACCUACCUAUAAGACUGGGAUAACUUCGGGAAACCGGAGCUAAUACCGGAUAAUAUUUUGAACCGCAUGGUUCAAAAGUGAAAGACGGUCUUGCUGUCACUUAUAGAUGGAUCCGCGCUGCAUUAGCUAGUUGGUAAGGUAACGGCUUACCAAGGCAACGAUGCAUAGCCGACCUGAGAGGGUGAUCGGCCGCACUGGAACUGAGACACGGACCAGACUCCUACGGGAGGCAGCAGUAGGGAAUCGUCCGCAAUGGGCGAGAACCUGACGGAACAACGCCGCGUGAGUGAUGAAGGUCUUCGGAUCGUAAAACUCUGUUAUUAGGGAAGAACAUAUGUGUAAGUAACUGUGCACAUCUUGACGGUACCUAAUCAGAAAGCCACGGCUAACUACGUG